rnacentral:tRNA from 1 species
GGGGAUGUAGCUCAGUGGUAGAGCACUUGCCUAGCAUGGGUUCAAUCCCCAGCUCCUCCU